rnacentral:lncRNA from 1 species
CCCGCCCCCGACACCCGCCGCCACACAAAGGCGCUGCGUCCUGGCGGCCAGCGGGGGCUUAGUCUAGGCCCGGCAGGGUUUUCUGGAAGACCAGAGGGCCACCAGGUCACCGAGGUGGGAAGUGAAGAGAGGUUCGACGCUGCCUCAGGCCUGGGCCUGGCCGGUGGGAGACACAGCAAGGACUCUGGGAGCCUGCAGAGCAGAGGCCGCCGCGGGGCCGGGCCCCCGUCUCCUCCUCAGGUCCAAGACCAGAGGGUCUGCAGGGCCCCAGAGCAGCUGGCCGCGCUCCGCUUCCCACCGCGCUCUCUGCUGGAACUCAUGUGGUUGUUUAUCCUUAUUUUGCUAAAUUUCUUUAUUUGCUGUAACAGUUUGUGUGUGUGUGUGUUUGAGUGUGUGUGUGUAAUUUUCAGGGUUUUCUAUAUAUAAAAAUCAUGUCACGGCCAGGCUUGGUGGCUCACACCUGUAAUCCCAGCACUUUGGGAGGCCAAGGUAGGAGGAUCGCCUGAGCCCAGGAGUUCGAGACCAGCCUGGGCAACACGGGCAACAUAGCGAGACCCUAGUCUCUAAAAUUUUUUUUAUUAGCCGGGCAUGGUGGCAGGCGCCUGUGGUCCCAGUUACUCCGGAGGAUGAGGCAGGGUAAUCGCUUGAACCAGGGAAGUCGAGGCUUCAGUGAGGCAUAAUUGCUCUGCUGCAUCCCAGCCUGGGUGACAAAGAGAGAUCCCAUCUCUCUCUCAAAAAAAAGUCAUGUUAUCUGUGAACAUAGAUAAUUUUACUUUUUCCUUGCCAAUACUGUGCUGAAUAACAUGGUGAAAGUGGGCACCCAUUAUUCCUGAUUGUAGGAGAAAAAUUUUCAGUCUUUCGCUGUUGAGAAUGAUAUUAGUUGUAUGUUUUUCAUAAUUGGGCAUUAUCAAGUUGAGGAAGUUUCCUUCUAUUCCUGGUUUACAUUGUGUGUGUGUGUGUGUUUUGUUUGUUUGUUUUGACAGAGUCUUGCUCUGUCACCCAAGCUGGAGUGCAGUGGCCGCGAUCUCGGCUCACUACAGCUUAGACCUCCAGGGCUCAAGCAAUCCUUCGACUUCAGCCUGCCAAGUAGCUAGGACCAUAGGCGUACAGCACCACAUUUAGAAGUCCCUGAGAAAAUUAUCUUGGAGGAAAACUCGCAAGUCCGACUAUUGGUUUUCCAAGGAAGCCAGUCUCGCCUGUGAGGAGGGAUCCUGCUCGCCCUGGGAGCCUACUCAGACACCAUGGGGAAUGGGGGGUGGGGCUCAGAGCGCGCAGGCUUGGUUUUUUUCCCCCUCCGAACUCCUGAGUUCCAGUGAUCUGCCUGACUCAGCCUCCCACAGUGCUGGGAUUACAAGUGUGAGCCACUGCGCCUGGCCUAUUACUUGUUUUAAUAAUAACAAAAAACAGCAAAAUCUUGCAGAAGGUUGGAAGGUAACCAAGCAGCUUAGCUUCAAACCACGUUUUAAAAACUUUGUUUCUUUUCUUCUUUCUCCCCAGUUUCUAGACAUAGCUUUGAGACAAACUGCAGAUGUGCUUUCUUUUGUCGUCAAUUACUGCCUUGGAAUGGGCAUUAAAACUGCCUUCCCUUUCGCAUCUUAUGCCCCCAUGCCUUAUGCUCAUUUAUUUACCUGGAUGCUUGUUAAGCUCAUACCAUGCCCACUUAUCUGGUCAUAUAUUUCCUUAGAAGCUUCAGGGGCUGAAUCCUGAUGCAGACCAGACAUCUCCAGAAUUCUCUCUCCAGUAGGAGAUUAAUUCAAGGACAAUAUUCACUCUUGGCUAGAGAUUAUCUGCAAGAUUGACUGUCAUUAAUUUGUAACUUGAUUGGGCCUACAAUGUCACUGGCCCCUUCACCAGGUGAAACAAUAAUUCAAGAUAAGCCAUCAGAAUGAGACACCCACUGGGCACCUCCUGCCUCUUGCCCCUCUGCAUUACAAGCUCCUCUCCUUGAAAUGCUUGGCCUCUCUCCAGAAAUUGGAGAGUGGCAAAUUUUGGCCAGCCACUCUCCCCAUUGCUAGCAUGGAUAAUAAAACUUACUCUAUUUUUAAUUACACCUCAUUCCUUUUUUUUUCUUUUUUUUUUUUUUUUUUUUGAGAUGGAGUCUCACUCUGUUGCCCAGGCUGGAGUGCAGUGGCACGAUCUCAGCUCACUGCAGCCCUGCCUCCUGGGUUCAAGCGAUUCUUCUGCCUGAGCCUCCUGAGUAGCUGGGAGUACAGGCGCACGCCAGCACACCCAGCUAAUUUUUGUAUUUUUAGUAGAGACGGGGUUUCACCAUAUAGGCGAGGCUGGUCUCAAACUCCUGACCUCGUGAUCCGUCCGCCUCGGCCUCCCAAAGUCCUGGGAUUACAGGCAUGAGCCACCACGCCCGGCCUCAUUCUUGUUCUUUUGGCUUUUUUCUACAAGUGACAAUCAGCCAGACCCUCUUUCAGCUACAGGAAGAGUUUGAUAAAGAGAAUGCCUGAGCUCAAUCUUGUGUGUUUUAAGGAAACAGAAAAAAAGGGAAAAGAAAAAGUCUUUUCCUGCCUUGUACCUCUGUCUAACUAAAAAGAGAGGCAGCUUCCUCACAGAAAAAUAUCACUGAUCUUAAAACUGAAUUCAAAGAACUGAAGAAGGAAGUUUCUAGUGUUUCACUUCUGUGGAUUUGGCCCAGAAAAAUCCACAGAGAAGGUGUUAAAGUCAGGUAAUUUAUCCUGCAUCCCUUAGAAAGCCCUAGAGCCAAUCAAAACUCUCCCCAAAGGGCUGAAAUCAGGCUCUGAGGGUUGUGGGAGUGACAGAGCCAUGUAAGCUCUCUGGAUUCACAGGUUUAGGUCACUGCUGAUGGAUUCAAUUACUAUGGGAGGACAUUUCAUGCUGUCUAAUUUUCAUUCAAUUGGAUGAUUCUCCCAAAUCCUUCGUUCUUUACCAUAAGUUUACUCAUUAUUUUAGCUUUACCUCAAGGCACUUUCCCCUGGGAAUUUUUCUGAGACCAGUGUGAGUUAGGUGUACUUCCUGUGUUUUGAUUUGUCAUACUAAAAAUCUUACAAGUAUGAAUUUCUACAUGAAAUAAAGGUAAGAUCUUAAUCUUAACAAUCUAGGUCUUAGAUUUCACGGUAUGGGCAUUAAACAAGUGUUUAUUUCUGUAUAGCCUUUUUGAUGAGUACCCAGCAAUCCCACUUCUACGAAUGUCUAUCAGUGAAAUUCCAGCUUAGCUCUGUAGUGGCUUCAUAGAAUCCAGUCAUUGCAGCAAUUUCAGGCAGCAGAGAGUUGGGGCAACCUGCAUGUCCAUCACCAGAAUGAGUCUAGGGGUCAGAAAUCUGCAAUCAGUUUCGGUGGACCAAAAUGAAAAUGUCAAACAGGGUGUCUGACACCCUCCAGAAGCACCAGAGGAGAAGCAGCUUUCCUUGGCCUUCCCAGGUUCUACAGGGACAUUCCUUGGCUCAUAGCUCCCCCUCCCAUUUUCUUUCUUUCUUUUCUUUUCUUUUCUUUUCUUUUCUUUUCUUUUUUUUCUUUUUUUUUUUUUUGAGACAGAGUCUCGCUCUGUCACCCAGGCUGGAGUGCAGUGGCGCCAUCUCGGCUCACUGCAAGCUCCGCCUCCCGGGUUCACGCCAUUCUCCUGCCUCAGCCUCCCGUAGCUGGGAUUACAGGCACCCGCCACCACGCUCGGCUAAUUUUUUGUACUUUUAGUAAAGACGGGGUUUCACCGUACUAGCCAGGAUGGUCUCGAUCUCCUGACCUCGUGAUCAGCCCGCCUCGGCCUCCCAAAGUGCUGGGAUUACAGGCGUGAGGCACCGCGCCCGGCCUCCUCCUCCCGUUUUCAAAGUCACCAGCGUAGCAUCCUGAUUCAAGAUCACAUUGUCUUCUUUUUUUUUUGUAGCCAAAUCUCCCUCUGCCUCUCUCCCCUGGUGACGACAAUGGCUGGGGUCUUGACUUGCCAAGAUCUGGAAACGGAGAAGGGACUGGAUCUCCAAACUUGGACUGCCUUGGACUGACCCUGGCCUGGAAGGUGUGGGCUCAGGACUCCGAGCUCAAGUCAGUCUGUUCCCCCAACCCCUAACCCACUGCAUCCGGGUGAGGAGUUGGGCCCGAGCGCCACAGCGCAGAUAGGGUUGUUAGGAGCGAAAGACUGGAGACCCAGGGACUGUGGGGCUGGGCUGGUGGGGCCACUGCUACCGACUAAGCAGUACGGGCCGCCUGGAAGACCGAAGGCGGAGUUCGCUGAUGCGGAAGCCAAGGCACAGGGCAAUAAGGAUCCGCGCCAUUUCUUGUGAUGUCACCUGAAGCCUUGGCGGGUAGCUGCCUCUCAUCCAUUCGGAGGACAGGGCUCCAGCCACCGGCAGCUCUGAAAGAGUUUGAAGAAUUUAUUGUUCACAGAUGGUAUUUAAAUGGACUUAUUUCUAAAAGUCACAUUCCUUUAUUACUUAUUUGUUAUUAGAAGUACCCAUUUUCAUAUGUGUUUAAAACUAUUUGUGUCUCAAAUUCUCAGGAGAUUGAUGCAUCCCAGUUUACUCUUUUUGGCAUAUGUUUUUACUCAUAAAUUAGGUUAAAUUUCAUACUUGUUUUAUAAAAUUUAGUUAUUUGGUUACAUUAAAAUAUUUGUAUCCAGAUAAGAAGUCUCUUCCUUCUCCUAUGCUUUUUUUGGAAUUUAGAGCAUAUCUGAAAUAAAAUUAAUUUACUUUUUAUUACUAA